rnacentral:rRNA from 1 species
GACGAACGCUGGCGGCGUGCCUAAUACAUGCAAGUCGAACGCAUUUUCUUUCACCGUAGCUUGCUACACCGAAAGAAAAUGAGUGGCGAACGGGUGAGUAACACGUGGGUAACCUGCCCAUCAGCGGGGGAUAACACUUGGAAACAGGUGCUAAUACCGCAUAAUUCCAUUUACCGCAUGGUAAAUGGAUGAAAGGCGCUUUUGCGUCACUGAUGGAUGGACCCGCGGUGCAUUAGCUAGUUGGGGGGGUAACGGCCUACCAAGGCUGCGAUGCAUAGCCGACCUGGGAGGGUGAUCGGCCACACUGGGACUGAGACACGGCCCAGACUCCUACGGGAGGCAGCAGUAGGGAAUCUUCGGCAAUGGACGCAAGUCUGACCGAGCAACGCCGCGUGAGUGAAGAAGGUUUUCGGAUCGUAAAACUCUGUUGUUAGAGAAGAACAAGGAUGAGAGUGGAAAGUUCAUCCCUUGACGGUAUCUAACCAGAAAGCCACGGCUAACUACGUG